GGGGGAAAAAUUAAUUAGAAUAAAUAAUAAUAAAAAAAUUUUUAAAUAAAUUAUUUUAAUGGGGGUUAAAGUAUAUUUAUAAGAAAAAAUUUUAAAAUUUAUAGAUGAAUAGUAUUGUGAAAGAAAUUUGAAAUAUUAUGAAAAUUAAUUUUUUAAAAAGUAAAUUUAAUUUAUUGUAUCUUGGGUAUCAGAGUUUAUUUAAAAAGUUUUUUUAGUUAAAAUUAUCUCGAAUUUAAAAGAAAUAAUUAAUUAUAAAAGUUAUUGUGUCAUAAAUAUUUUAAAUAAUUAAUUAGAAAUGAGAUGUUAAUCGUUUUUAAAUAUAUCUAGUUUUUUUAGAAAUAAAUUUAAUUUAGAAUUUUUUUUUAGUUAAAAAAAAAAUUAUAUUUUUUUAUAGGGAAAAAUUUAAUAUUUUAAGGGAUAAGCUUUAAAUUAAAUUUUUAUAAUAAUUAAAAAAAUUAAUUAAAAUUUUUAAAAUUUAUAUUGUUUAUAAAUUAUAUAUUUUUAUAAAAAAUUUUAUUUUAAAUAAAAUUUUUAAAAAAAAAUUUAAAUUUUUAUAAAAAAAUAAUUUUUAAUAAAUUAAAAAUUAGAUAUAAUGAUGAAAUUAGUAUAACUAAUAAAAAUAUAAGAUUUAUAAGUUUAAAAUUAAUAAAAAGGAAUUCGGCAAAUAUUUAUAUUCACUUGUUUAACAAAAACAUGUCUUUUUGAUAAUAAUUUAAAGUCUAAUCUGCCCACUGAUUUAAUUAUUAAAGGGCUGCAGUAUAUUGACUGUACAAAGGUAGCAUAAUCAUUAGUCUUUUAAUUGAAGACUUGUAUGAAAAGGAUUUGAUGAAAUAUAGACUGUCUUUUUUUUAUAAUUAGAAUUUAAUUUUUUAGUAAAAAAGCUAAAAUAUGUUUAAAAGACGAGAAGACCCUAUAGAGUUUUAUUAAUAAAUUAAAUUAAAUUUUAUAUUAAAAUUAAAAUAAAAUUUAAUUUUUUAAUUUUGUUGGGGUGAUAAAAAAAUUAAAAAAACUUUUUUUUUUAGUUAAACCAUUAAUAUAUGAGUUUUUGAUCCAUAAUUUAUGAUUAUAAGAAAAAAUUACCUUAGGGAUAACAGCGUAAUUUUUUUUUUUAGUUCAAAUAAAAAAAAAAGUUUGCGACCUCGAUGUUGGAUUAAGAUAAAAUUUAAAUGCAGAAGUUUAAAAUUUUUGAUCUGUUCGAUCAUUAAAAUCUUACAUGAUCUGAGUUCAAACCGGUGUAAGCCAGGUUGGUUUCUAUCUUUAGAUACUUAUAAUAUUUUAGUACGAAAGGAUUAAAUAUUAAAAAUAUUUUUAAAUAAAAGAAUUUUAAUAAGAUUUAUUUUAAAUUAGUUAAUUUAAUUAA
rnacentral:rRNA from 1 species